CAGGAAUGACGACUUCGCUCAGCUUCUGCAUCCUGGUUUAUGUUGUGAAAGGAAAAUAUCUUCAGCCCCUUCAAGCUGGUAACUGCUCAGGGCAAAUCUGUCUCAUUCUAUUCGAAGUCAUCCCUCUGCUCACUGAAAUUAAUGCAUAUUCUGAUUGCCUCCUUUGGAAAGGCUUAUCAGAAACCAAAAGAAUGCAACCAUUUCUCUCUCACCUGCCUGUGACCUGGAAGCCCCCUCCCAGCUUCAAGAGUUGUCCCUGUCUUUCUGCAUGAAACUAGUGUACUUCUUACAUAUAUUGACUGAUGUCUCAUGUCUCCCUAAAAUGUAUAAAACCAAGCUGUGUCCCAAUCACCUUGGGCACAUGUCAUUAGGACUUCCUGAGGCUGUGUCAUGGGCGCACUUCCUUAGCUUUGGCAAAUAAACCUAAAAUGAUUGAGACUUGUCUUAUCAUUUUUCUCGAUUGGCAAUGUCCUUCCAUGCCUUUUUCUGAUAAGUUGCUGACAUGUAUUGAACAUUUACUACAAAGCAAGGACCAGGACUUUACAUACACACUAUAUUUUACAAAAACCCCAUACUGUUAUUAUCUCCAUGGUGUUGACAAACAGAGAAGCUAA
rnacentral:lncRNA from 1 species